GUCAGGAGCACCUCUGCAGGGUCACUGCCCGGCUCCACUGCGAGAGCCAGAGCGCAGCCGGGGUUUGUGCAGGAGCACAAACCUGUACCCUGCUUACUCCUCGCUGGAGUGCUGAAACACUUUAUUGCUUACGUUUUCUUUGGGUCUGCUUGGGUUUUGGUUGUUUGUUUUUUUUUUAACUUUAAAGAUGCAAUUUUCCUUCUGCAUCGCCCGAUCCCGCUAGCGCUGCAGCAGCCUUUCCCGCAGACGCCUCCUACCCCAGGCAAGGGAGCAAAGGCGCCCGGGGGUGUCAGACCCCUGGGGCCGUGACUUACCCCCCCGGGCUGCCGUCUCCCCUUCUCCUCGCUGCGGGGAGCGGGACCGGAGCCCGGGGACGCGCUGGAAGCGGGGCAGGUGCAAGGACAGCCCGAAGGGACAGACCCUCGCCCCGCAGAUUCCCCUCCCGCCUUCAAGGGGGCUGCUGCCGACCCCCCGGUACGUGUCCCCGGCGAAGCGAGGGAAAGGCAGCGCUUACCGGAGCUGCUCGCCGAGGAGAUUGGCCACCAAGAUUAAGAUGCUCCUCUAAGAGAUGGGACAGCAUGCGUAGAGCUUGAAAUCCUGACAGCGAGAGAGAGAGACAUCCCUCUGAGCGUGGUUGGAGUCAAGGGAGAUGAGGAUCACCAGCUAACAGUAAGGCCUUCCUCAGCCAACAGCAUGGCAGAUCUUUGAGCUGGAGUCCUGGGACACUUUAAAACUCAUCCUCCACAACAUCAAGAGAGUAAGAAGAGCUGCUAUAGGUCUCGUGGAGAGUUGGUACCAGAGGCAUGAGGGAAAGAUCAAGUGUCUUCCAGUGCCUUUUGAUGACCCUGGAGGCUUUCUGGCAUGCAGUAAGGUAUUAGGCUGCACUUUUGAACCCUCAAGGUCAUGAUGCUCUGUGGAACAUAGUGCAUGAAGAGGGACAUUGUAUUAGAGUACUGGUUUUAGAAAACAUUCUAGUAGUUUGUAUAAACUUUCUUAUCUCACUGAGUAAAGGCCCAAAACAUGACAUGUUUACAUAGUGAAAUAAGAAUAUUGCUUUCACUGCUUUAAAAAGUAUUGGAUCUGUGGCCUAUAUUUUGACUUCACCAAUUAAUCUGAGAUUUGAUAAAUAAAUUCCUUAGUUUCACUAAUAAAUUUUCUGCAAUUUAUUUAGCAUGAGACAGUUCACGUGACAGAAU